GUCGAGCGGCAGCGCGGGGGCAACCCUGGCGGCGAGCGGCGAACGGGUGAGUAAUACAUCGGAACGUGUCCAGUAGUGGGGGAUAACCAGUCGAAAGAUUGGCUAAUACCGCAUACGAUCUACGGAUGAAAGCGGGGGACUCGAGGGAAACUGAGGGCCUCGCGCUAUUGGAGCGGCCGAUGUCGGAUUAGCUUGUUGGCGGGGUAAAAGCCCACCAAGGCGACGAUCCGUAGCUGGUCUGAGAGGACGAUCAGCCACACUGGAACUGAGACACGGUCCAGACUCCUACGGGAGGCAGCAGUGGGGAAUUUUGGACAAUGGGGGCAACCCUGAUCCAGCCAUGCCGCGUGAGUGAAGAAGGCCUUCGGGUUGUAAAGCUCUUUCGGCGGGGACGAAACGGUCCGUGACAACACCACGGACUAAUGACGGUACUCGCAUAAGAAGCACCGGCUAACUACGUGCCAGCAGCCGCGGUAAUACGUAGGGUGCAGGCGUUAAUCGGAAUUACUGGGCGUAAAGCGUGCGCAGGCGGCUCCUUAAGUCAGAUGUGAAAUCCCCGGGCUUAACCUGGGAACUGCGUUUGAAACUGUGGAGCUAGAGUGUGGAAGAGGGGGGUGGAAUUCCAGGUGUAGCAGUGAAAUGCGUAGAGAUCUGGAGGAACACCGAUGGCGAAGGCAGCCCCCUGGGCUAACACUGACGCUCAUGCACGAAAGCGUGGGGAGCAAACAGGAUUAGAUACCCUGGUAGUCCACGCCCUAAACGAUGUCAACUGGUUGUCGGGGAAGUUUUUCCUUGGUAACGAAGCUAACGCGUGAAGUUGACCGCCUGGGGAGUACGGCCGCAAGGUUAAACUCAAAGGAUUGACGGGGACCCGCACAGCGGUGGAUUAUGUGAUUAUUCGAUGCACGC
rnacentral:rRNA from 1 species